rnacentral:rRNA from 1 species
CUACGGGUCGCUGCAGUGAGGAAUAUUGCACAAUGGGGGGAACCCUGAUGCAGCAACGCCGCGUGGAGGAUGACGCAUUUCGGUGUGUAAACUCCUUUUAUAUGUCAAGAAAAUGACGGUAGCAUAUGAAUAAGCACCGGCUAACUCCGUGCCAGCAGCCGCGGUAAUACGGAGGGUGCAAGCGUUACUCGGAAUCACUGGGCGUAAAGGACGCGUAGGCGGGUGGGAAAGUCAGGUGUGAAAUCCUACAGCUUAACUGUAGAACUGCACUUGAAACUUCUAAUCUAGAGUAUGGAGGGGGAGAUGGAAUUAGUGGUGUAGGGGUAAAAUCCGUAGAUAUCACUAGGAAUACCUAAAGCGAAGGCGAUCUCCUGGAACAUUACUGACGCUAAGGCGUGAAAGCGUGGGGAGCAAACAGGAUUAGAUACCCUCGUAGUC